UUUUUAAUGGUUGACCUCGGAUCAGGUAGGAAUACCCGCUGAACUUAAGCAUAU
rnacentral:rRNA from 1 species